rnacentral:rRNA from 1 species
AAUGAACGGUGGCGGCGUGGACUAGGCAUGCACGUCGUGCGAGAAGUCUUUUGCUUGCAUUAGACGGCAGGCGGCGAAAGGGAGAGUAACGCGUGGGUACCUACCUCUAGGUUCGGGAUAGCUGCGGGAAACUGGGGGUAAUACCGAAUAACAUCUCUGGAACCAAGGUUUGAUUCCGCCUGGAGACGGGCCCGCUACCUAUUAGCUUGUUGGUGGGGUAAUGGGUUACCAAGGCAAUGAUGGGUAUCGGGCGUGAGAGCGUGACCCGACUCACUGGGGCUGAGACACUGCCCAGACACCUACGGGUGGCUGCAGUCGAGAAUCUUCGGCAAUGGGCGCAAGCCUGACCGAGCGACGCCGCGUGCGGGAUGAAGGCCCUCGGGUUGUAAACCGCUGUCAGUUGGGAGGAAAUCACAUGGGGUUCUCUCCAUGUGUUGACCUAUCUUCAGAGGAAGGACGGGCUAAGUUCGUGCCAGCCGCCGCGGUAACAC